GCCGGAAAAUAGCUCAGUUGGGAGAGCGUUAGACUGAAGAUCUAAAAGUCCUGGUUCCAAUCCGGGUUUCGGCA